rnacentral:rRNA from 1 species
AACGAACGCUGGCGGCGUGGAUAAGACAUGCAAGUCGAGCGGGACAAUCAGGGUAGCAAUAUUCUGGUUGUUCAGCGGCGCAAGGGUGCGUAACACGUGGGUAAUUUGCCAUGAAGUCUGGAAUAACUUGCUGAAAGGCGAGCUAAUGCCGGAUGUGACUUCCGAGGGGCAUCUCUUGGAAUUCAAAGCUGGAACCGUAAGGUCUGGCGCUUCUUGAUAAGCCCGCGGUCUAUCAGCUAGUUGGUGAGGUAACGGCUCACCAAGGCUAAGACGGAUAGCUGGUCUGAGAGGACGACCAGCCACACUGGAACUGAGACACGGUCCAGACACCUACGGGUGGCAGCAGUCGAGAAUUUUUCACAAUGGGCGAAAGCCUGAUGGAGCGACGCCGCGUGGGGGAUGAAUGGCUUCGGCCCGUAAACCCCUGUCAUUUGCGAACAAACCUUACCGGUUAAUACCCGGUGAGCUGAUUGUAGCGGAAGGAGGAGGACGGCUA